AAGCCCCCCUCAAGAUGAGAUUUCCCAUCGCUCCUAAGCGAGUAAGAUCCCUCAGAGACGAUGAGGUUGAUAGGUCCGAGGUGGAAGCGUGGUGACACGUGGAGCUGACGGAUACUAAUCGAUCGAGGACUUAACUUCG
rnacentral:rRNA from 1 species